rnacentral:lncRNA from 1 species
CUCGAGCCCCAAAACCUUAUCUUCCCAAAGCCUCAUCUCCUCCUUCCUCCCACCACCUCGCCUCGCCAUGGCGGCCACCCUCUUCUCCACCUCGCUCACCCCCACCUUCCUCCCGGCCGUCCCCUGCCCCAAGCCCGCGCCGCCGGCCUCAGCCUGCUUCCCCUGCGCGCUGCCGCCGCGCGCCGCGCUAGCGGCGCCACCGGCGCCGCUGCGGAGGCGGCUUUCUCCCGUGGCCGUCGCGGUGUCGUCGGAGGUGGAGGAGGAGGAGGGUGGCGCGGAGUCCGAGGGGGAGUUCGCCGAGGACCUCAAGGUGUUUGUUGGUAACCUUCCGUUCAGCGUCGACAGCGCGCAGCUCGCGGGGCUCUUCGAGCAGGCCGGCUCCGUUGAGAUGGUCGAGGUAUAAAUUACUCACACGGCCUCUUUUUCGAAUAGAUUCAUAGUUUCAUCUCGGUAAAUUGGGCGACGCAAUUUUGCUAGAGUGGACUAAACAGUCUAUUUAUACAUGAGGAAUCCACUAGAUGAGGAAUUACUGCAACGAAUUGGUUCAGUGUUCUCUAGGAUUUAUAUUUGAGUUUUAUAUGUUAAUGCUCAAAUGUUUUUUUUAAUUGGUUCAAUAGUAGUUAAAUUACGCAACAAAUAGAUGUUCUGAAUUCAAUUGUCCAGCCAAGCAAGGCAACUACAGAGUGUCAUGCGUACAAGUGAGUGGGUUCUUCUCAUGAUAAUAAUACUAAAAAAAACUAGAAUAUUAGGGAAGGACCUAAUAUCAAAUAAUUAGGAGGGAUGAGGCUUUAAACCCAGGUCGUCUAGCCCACCACCUUGUGAAGCUAGCCGGAAGACCCCUGGGCAUUUCUCUCAUGAUAAUAAUACUAGGUUCUCGUUUUCUUUUUUUCUUUUUUUUUUUUGUGACAGGUUGUAUAUGACAGACAGACCGGAAGAAGCCGUGGCUUUGGAUUCGUCACAAUGUCUACAGCUGAAGAAGCUGGUGCUGCCGUCGAACAAUUCAAUGGAUACGUGAGUAUACUCCCAUGUUAUAUUAAUCUCUUUUGUGGUGCAUUCUUAUAAGUGGGUUAAUUAGUUAUAGCGGAAAUUUGUGCAUCUAUGCGAAAAGUUUAGUUCUCUAUCAACUGUGAUGUUGUAGUAUUGAUGGUUUAUGAACAUUGUGCACUUAAAAUUAACUGUUUAUGUAGCAAAAGGUUAUACUUGAACCAGCAUUACUAAAAUCCUGAAACCUGAUUCUCAGCAUGACUGACUGCUUUUUCAUGUCGUUUUGACAUUUUGCUUAAUGUCUUGAGACCAAUCCAUCAAAAAUUGUUUCGUGUCCAAAUCCCUGGCAAUACAUUGAAUGGUUGAAUAUUAGUGAUUAAUCAUAUUAUAUUUCAAAACAGACAUUCCAAGGAAGACCUCUGAGGGUAAACUCAGGGCCGCCUCCGCCUCGGGAUGAUUUCGCGCCAAGAUCACCUAGGGGUGGUGGGAGCAACUUUGAUUCAUCCAACAAGCUCUAUGUAGGGAACCUUGCUUGGGGUGUCGACAACUCGACACUCGAGAACCUGUUCAGUGAGCAGGGAACCGUGCUCGAUGCCAAGGUCAUCUACGACAGGGAGAGCGGCAGGUCGAGGGGUUUUGGUUUUGUCACCUAUGGCUCCGCUGAAGAAGUCAACAAUGCCAUAUCAAAUCUUGACGGCGUUGUAAGUACCAAACAUAUUCUUAUUUUAACAUGUCAAAUUUCACCAUUCCAAUUCCCUCUCAAGCUAAGUUGCUCGAGGUGAUUUGUAUAUAUAAUUGCUCAUAUGAUUUCAGUAAUUGUAAGUAUGCUAAUUGAUUGUGUGCUUUUGUUCUUUAGGACCUGGACGGCAGGCAGAUCCGAGUUACAGUUGC